rnacentral:rRNA from 1 species
GGGAAUCUACCCAUUUCUGCGGAAUAGCUCUGGGAAACUGGAAUUAAUACCGCAUACGCCCUACGGGGGAAAGAUUUAUCGGGGAUGGAUGAGCCCGCGUUGGAUUAGCUAGUUGGUGGGGUAAAGGCCUACCAAGGCGACGAUCCAUAGCUGGUCUGAGAGGAUGAUCAGCCACAUUGGGACUGAGACACGGCCCAAACUCCUACGGGAGGCAGCAGUGGGGAAUAUUGGACAAUGGGCGCAAGCCUGAUCCAGCCAUGCCGCGUGAGUGAUGAAGGCCUUAGGGUUGUAAAGCUCUUUCACCGGUGAAGAUAAUGACGGUAACCGGAGAAGAAGCCCCGGCUAACUUCGUGCCAGCAGCCGCGGUAAUACGAAGGGGGCUAGCGUUGUUCGGAAUUACUGGGCGUAAAGCGCACGUAGGCGGAUAUUUAAGUCAGGGGUGAAAUCCCAGAGCUCAACUCUGGAACUGCCUUUGAUACUGGGUAUCUUGAGUAUGGAAGAGGUGAGUGGAAUUGCGAGU